CCCUUAGAUGUUCGGGGCCGCACGCGCGCUACACUGAAUGAAUCAGCGAGUGUAUGUCCUAGGCCGAAAGGUCCGGGUAACCCGUUGAACCUCAUUCGUGAUUGGGAUAGGGACUUGCAAUUGUUUCCCUUGAACGAGGAAUUCCCAGUAAGCGCAAGUCAUCAGCUUGCGUUGAUUACGUCCCUGCCCUUUGUACACACCGCCCGUCGCUCCUACCGAUUGAAUGAUCCGAUGAAUACCAUGGAUUGAGAGUACGAAUAGGUUCGCUUAUUUCUGCUGCUCGAGAAGUGGAGUAAAUCUUAUCAUUUAGAGGAAGGAGAAGUCGUAACA
rnacentral:rRNA from 1 species